UAAAAACCUUGAAUUGGAACUUCUUGUCUCC
rnacentral:piRNA from 1 species